UAUAUUUUAAUGUUAAUAUGCAUAAAAAUUUUUGAAAUUUUAAGUGAUAAAAUUAUUAUCAAAUAUAA
rnacentral:tRNA from 1 species